GCUGGGCGUUGUGGCGGGCCCCUGUAGUCCCAGCUACUUGGGAGGCUGAGGCAGGAGACUCGCUUGAGCCCAGGAGUUGGAGGUUGCUGUGAGCUGUGAUGCCAUAGCACUCUACCCAGGGGGAUAGCUUGAGGCUCUGUCUCAAAAAAAAAAAAAGAAACAGAGCCUUAUUUUGUUACCCUCGGUAGAGUGCUGUGGUGUCACAGCUCAUAGCAACCUCCAACUCCUGGGCUUAGACGAUUCUCCCGCCUCAG
rfam:Otolemur garnettii contig130732, whole genome shotgun sequence.